rnacentral:rRNA from 1 species
UACGGUGAGGGAUGAAAGCUGGGGGAGCAAACCGGAUUAGAUACCCGGGUAGUCCCAGCUGUAAACGAUGCAGACUCGGUGAUGAGUUGGCUUAUUGCUAACUCAGUGCUGCAGGGAAGCCGUUAAGUUUGCCGCCUGGGAAGUACGUACGCAAGUAUGAAACUUAAAGGAAUUGGCGGGGGAGCACCACAAGGGGUGAAGCCUGCGGUUCAAUUGGAGUCAACGCCG